rnacentral:rRNA from 1 species
AGUGAACGCUGGCGGUAGGCCUAACACAUGCAAGUCGAACGGCAGCACAGUAAGAGCUUGCUCUUACGGGUGGCGAGUGGCGGACGGGUGAGGAAUACAUCGGAAUCUACUUUUUCUUGGGGGAUAACGUAGGGAAACUUACGCUACUACCGCAUACUACCUACGGGUGAAAUCAGGGGAUCUUCGGACCUUGCGCGAUUGAAUGAGCCGAUGUCGGAUUAGCUAGUUGGCGGGGUAAAGGCCCACCAAGGCGACGAUCCGUAGCUGGUCUGAGAGGAUGAUCAGCCACACUGGAACUGAGACACGGUCCAGACUCCUACGGGAGGCAGCAGUGGGGAAUAUUGGACAAUGGGCGCAAGCCUGAUCCAGCCAUACCGCGUGGGUGAAGAAGGCCUUCGGGUUGUAAAGCCCUUUUGUUGGGAAAGAAAAGCAGCAGGUUAAUACCCCGCUGUUCUGACGGUACCCAAAGAAUAAGCACCGGCUAACUUCGUG